rnacentral:misc_RNA from 1 species
GAUGAAGAACGCAGCGAAAUGCGAUACGUAAUGUGAAUUGCAGAAUUCAGUGAAUCAUCGAAUCUUUGAACGCAUAUUGCGCUCUUUGGUAUUCCGAAGAGCAUGCUUGUUUGAGUAUCAGUAAACACCUCAAAGCUUUUGGAUUUUUUAAUCGAAAAGCUUUGGACUUGAGCAAUCCCAACACCAAUCUUUUUGAGAUCGGUGGCGGGUUGCUUGAAAUGCAGGUGCAGCUGGACAUUCUCCUGAGCUAAAAGCAUAUUCAUUUAGUCCCGUCAAACGGAUUAUUACUUUUGCUGCAGCUAACAUAAAGGGAGUUGACCGUAUUGGCUGACUGAUGCAGGAUUUCACAAGGGUCGGCAACGAUUCUUGUUAAACUCGAUCUCAAAUCAAGUAAGACUACCCGCUGAACUUAAGCAUAUCAAUAAGCGGAGGA